GCAGUGCCACCCUCCCUUGAUCCACUUGUGCCCGAGGCAUGACCACUGUGGCAGUGAGCUCAGCUGGGCUGGGGGGGUCAGCUGGCACCAGCUGUGGCCAGCACAGGGCAGUCCUAAAAUUUUUAAUCCUAAAAGCAAACCUGGGAAAAAUAUUUAAUCUCAAAUUGGAAAACCAAAACUCAAACAAAUAAAAACCUUUUAAAAUCAGCUAUUUACAGUUUUAUGAAUAUUUCUCAUCAAUUAGAAAUAAAGAUGCCUGCAACUAGCACUGAAGGCCUCUGAUAAGACACAGUUAUGUAGUUUAAUGUCAAUAACUCCUUUCAUGGAAUAAAAAUCCGGAGACCCUGGCCUUUUUCCCCCCACCUCCCAAGCUGAAGACAGGAAACUUUGUUCACCCCUUCCCUGACUGCACUCUCUGUACUCACAGCUUGGCACCUUUUUGGAGCAGGACACAGGAGCCUUUCUGGCCUGGGUGGAAACAGGUCCCUGACACCCACACUCUCUGGCUGUGGCUCAGGCCCCUACAUCUGAUGCCACCAGCUCAACCUCAACUUAAUUUUUUCAGCAUUCCUAUAAAGUUUAAAACUCAUCCCAAUAAUAAUGAAGUUGAAAAACUGUCCAAGGUGAAGCAGCUGAGAAAAGUGACAAAGAGGUUGUCUUAGAUUUAUGUCAAAAAAAGCAAAUUACCUCCCUGUGACCAAAAGCAACUGUCCAAUAUCAAACAACUUAAGCAAAACAUAUCUCUGGGACUGAAAUACUUUGUUCCCACACCAUCCAAUAAUACUGAAAGAUAAUCAUCCAAUAAUACAUCAAAUUCCACUGAAAAGGCAGGGAAACUAAAGAAGACCCUAAACUUGAAUGAACCCACUUGUUUUCCCAACUAACCUUGUUGAUUUCAAGUUAAAGUCCAUGCCAUUUUUUGCCUCACCAACUCCUCAGAAAUCACUUUCAUUGAGAAAACCUGUGUGGAACAAUUAAGGCAAUGCAAUUUUGCAUAUACGGAAGAGUGGGGAAAAAAAAGUGAUUGUAAGAAAAGUAUAAAGUGGUAGAAUACUACGAAGAAAAAAAAAAUCCACACACUAAACUUGACUUCUUAUACAGAAAACCUGGUAUAAAAUUUUUCAUUGAGUUUGAAAAUGAAGCAGUGUGAAAUAUAACCAUCAUCUAUUUGACUGCUUGUAUUUUAGGUUAGAGUUUUGCUUUUCGGAAGAGGCAAUACACAAGAUAUUAUUUAUAUGUGUUUAUAUUUAAAUAUCUCAACAAUUCUAUGUGAAAUCCAGACAGUCAUUUGUUAUGAUUUCUUCUUUCUUUUUGGAAUGGGCCGUAUAGCUUCUUAAAAAAGCUUAUUUAAAUCACUUGUCAUAACAUCUUAGAAAUAGCAGAUAUUUUCCAAAAUGCUGACAAACACAGAGAGCUAUGGCCAUGAUGCAGACACGGGGCCACAGUACUGCUACACAGUCAGGUGUCCUAUUAUGAAGUUGUCUUACUAGGUAAAAGGAAUGGAAAACCAGAGCAACACUACAUCUUCAUUAAUCCACCUUCAUAACACCACUUCAUCCUGCUAGCAGCAGCUAAAACAGCAAGAGCUGGGCUGCUCCCCAAGCAAGGAGCUGUGGCUGACUCCAGAGCAAAAGGUGAACAGAAAGCCCUGAAGUGCCUGAACACAGCAAGCAGGGACACAAAGCACUGGUCACAGGUGCCACCAACACACUCCAGGGAGCAGCAGGGAAAGGAACAAGCCAAGAAGAAGCAGGGAAAUCCCACUGAUGUUCAGGUGCAAAGCUA
rnacentral:lncRNA from 1 species